AACGAACGCUGGCGGCAUGCCUAACACAUGCAAGUCGAACGAGACCUUCGGGUCUAGUGGCGCACGGGUGCGUAACGCGUGGGAACCUGCCCUUAGGUUCGGAAUAACUCCCCGACAGGGGUGCUAAUACCGGAUCAUGUCUUCGGACCAAAGAUUUAUCGACUUUGGUGGGGCCCGCGUUGGAUUAGCUAGUUGGUAGGGUAAAAGCCUACCAAGGCGACGAUCCAUAGCUGGUCUGAGAGGAUGAUCAGCCACACUGGGACUGAGACACGGCCCAGACUCCUACGGGAGGCAGCAGUGGGGAAUAGUGGACAAUGGGCGAAAGCCUGAUCCAGCAAUGCCGCGUGAGUGAUGAAGGCCGUAGGGUUGUAAAGCGCUUUUACCCGUGAUGAUAAUGACAGUACCGGGAGAAUAAGCUCCGGCUAACUCCGUG
rnacentral:rRNA from 1 species